rnacentral:rRNA from 1 species
UGGUGAGGUAAUGGCUCACCAAGGCGACGAUCCCUAGCUGGUCUGAGAGGAUGAUCAGCCACACUGGAACUGAGACACGGUCCAGACUCCUACGGGAGGCAGCAGUGGGGAAUAUUGCACAAUGGGCGCAAGCCUGAUGCAGCCAUGCCGCGUGUGUGAAGAAGGCCUUCGGGUUGUAAAGCACUUUCAGUCGUGAGGAAGGUGGUGUAGUUAAUAGCUGCAUUAUUUGACGUUAGCGACAGAAGAAGCACCGGCUAACUCCGUGCCAGCAGCCGCGGUAAUACGGAGGGUGCGAGCGUUAAUCGGAAUUACUGGGCGUAAAGCGCAUGCAGGUGGUUUGUUAAGUCAGAUGUGAAAGCCCGGGGCUCAACCUCGGAAUAGCAUUUGAAACUGGCAGACUAGAGUACUGUAGAGGGGGGUAGAAUUUCAGGUGUAGCGGUGAAAUGCGUAGAGAUCUGAAGG